rfam:Bacillus sp. FJAT-27231 Scaffold1, whole genome shotgun sequence.
AAGCAAUAGAAUAGGCUUCUCAAGGGUGGUCGGCACACUCCUCCAAUGAAAAAGGAGGGAGGUGAUGCCGUAUGACAACGUUUGAAACACUCAUGUUUGCAGUCGCUUUUGCAGGCUUAGUCGUGUCGAUUUUGUCAUUCCAUAAAAAAGACUAAAACCGCCCUUGAGUUUACCCAGCUCCGGCGGUUUUAGCAUGUUAGAUGCUGAUCCCCUAGAAGGGACCUGCUAUUGCAUAGCCGUUUCGAUGUGCCCAGCAUCGAAA